AUUGAACGCUGGCGGCAGGCUUAACACAUGCAAGUCGAGCGGGGAAAAGUAGCUUGCUACUUGACCUAGCGGCGGACGGGUGAGUAAUGCUUAGGAAUCUGCCUAUUAGUGGGGGACAACAUCUCGAAAGGGAUGCUAAUACCGCAUACGUCCUACGGGAGAAAGCAGGGGACCUUCGGGCCUUGCGCUAAUAGAUGAGCCUAAGUCGGAUUAGCUGGUUGGUGGGGUAAAGGCCUACCAAGGCGACGAUCUGUAGCGGGUCUGAGAGGAUGAUCAGCGACACUGGGACUGAGACACGGCCCAGACUCCUACGGGAGGCAGCAGUGGGGAAUAUUGGACAAUGGGGGGAACCCUGAUCCAGCCAUGCCGCGUGUGUGAAGAAGGCCUUUUGGUUGUAAAGCACUUUAAGCGAGGAGGAGGCUACCGAGAUUAAUACUCUUGGAUAGUGGACGUUACUCGCAGAAUAAGCACCGGCUAACUCUGUGCCAGCCGCCGCGGUAACAC
rnacentral:rRNA from 1 species